CAUUCAACCCCCCCUCCUGACUGUGCCCCCAGGACCCCUGCCCUGUCCACCUGCCUGUCCCCGGACCGCCUUCGGACCCUCCACCCCUGAUUGCCCCAUGCCCUCAUUCAAUCCCUCUGUUCCCUGCCCUCUGACAGUCCCGACCGCUAUCCACACCCCUGACCACCACCCCUUAACUCCCCUGCCCUCUCUCCAGCCUCCCUUGCUCCUUUACCACACUGCCUGGAGCACCAGUGGCUGGUGGUGCUACAGCCGCCGCCACCCAGAGCACCAGGACAGGCAGCCUCACUGCCUGGCUGGAGCCAGCCAUGCCACUGCGCAGCACAGAGCACCGGGUCAGGCCGGCUCUGUAGCUGUGCUGCCGCCCACAGCAUUGCGGUGGCAGUGCAGUGAGUGGAAGCUGCGGGGGAGGCGCUGGGGCGAGCCUCCCGGACCAGGAGUUGGGCAGGAGGGUCCCAUGGGCUGGAUGUGGCCCUCGGGCUGUAGUUUGUCCACCUCUGUUUUUAGGAUCAAUUAAAUAGUGGAAAUCCUCCAUGCAUUCGGUAGGUUCUGUUUCUUUGUAUACCAUCAGUAAUUGCUUCCAAAAUAAAGAUACAACUUUUAAAAGAAAUUACCAUUACACCCCUCUGGGUGUAGUGCUUUAUUUUUCAAGUCAUUGUUUGGUAAUCCUUUAUGAAAAUACUAUAUUCUGUUUGUGCUUAGUUAACUUUGGAAUGCUUUGAGCUUAUUCAGAUAAGAGUAGAAGUUUUAUUCUUUUCUGAAUCUACCUGUCCUUUUCCAUGUAAACUUCAGUUGAAUGCAAUAAUGCUUCAGCAACUUUCGUCUUUGUGCAUUUCAAAUGAAAAUUAGACCCGCCCUCCCCCCCCCCCCCCAAAAACAAACACAUUAUCACUUAUAGAUGCCUGUUGCUAUGUUAAUCAGUAGGCUAAGUUUUUUCUGGCUUUGUUUCCAUGUUCAAAAUAGUCUUGCUCAGCAUACAAUUUAGGCAGUUUUAUUGUUUAGCAUGGUGAGCAACUAGUCUCUUAAUUUCAAAAACAAAACACUUAAUUUGAAAAACAGGUCUGCUUAAAAAAACUCUUGCAUGUAAGGAAAUGAACACUUAAGCUGCCUACACAAAUGAGUUAAAGUACAUUGAAAUGCAUAUAUCGUCACAACUUAGUGUAAAUCAAAAUUUCAGAACAAUUACCUUAUCCAGGAGGUGUAACUUGAAUUUGAAGGAGUUUUUUGUUUGAAGUUACAAGCUGGGAACUCAAUAUGGUCUGAACUAAAGAGACGCGUGUUUUUGUUUUAAAUCGCUUCCAACCUGGGUAAAUGGAUAGAUUGGUUUAAUCAUCAAUUAAAAUCAGCAAGCAGAAUAUCUUGAUAUAAAUCAAUUUUAAUAGUUUUCCAUUUGUAUUUUAUAGUUUAUUUUCCUAAGCACUGAUUUAAUUUAAAACUAAAUGCAGUUUUUAUACUAGAUUUGACACCACUUCUGUUAACCAGGAGGAUACGUUAACUAUACAUUUAACAUACAUUUGUUCAGAUUCUUAAUUUCUGCAUUUUUAUUGUUAAAUUUACUAGAUAAUUAACUUUUUACUUGUGAUUUGUAUCAAGCUUCAUUUGGAUGGAAACUGGAAUUCAAUUAAAGUGUACAGACAGCAUUUAAAAAGUUUUAGUUUACUAACAAAAAAAUGUACUGGACAAAUACAACAGAUGAAACGAAGUGUUUCAGCACAUCAGAGCUGAAAAUACUGACAUUUGAAACAGAAAUAUUAGCAUUUACUUCAUUUUAAAGACUGAAAAUGACAUACGUAUUUUGUGCUCUACAAGACAAAUUGUAACAUUUAUAAAGCUUGACCUUAAGUUAGCUAUUUUUUUCCCCCGGAUCUGUGUAUAAAAACCCAGUUUUUAACUCAUUACUUAAAGUUCGUGAAGAGGUCUCAUAGAUUCAGUCUCUCUUUGUAUUUAUUUAAAUGAUGAAUAGAUUAUACUAUGGUUAGGGCUUAACACCAGCUUGCCAUAAAUUCAAAUUUAACUGUAAAAGGAUUACUUUUUAAAUAAAAACUUUUAAUUUAAAUUUGUUAUAAAUUGCUUUAUUUAUACAAAAAUAAUUUAUUUUUAUCUGAUUUUCAAAUAUUCUGCAGUCUUUGUGAAAACAUUCUCCUUUUUGCCCACAGACUAAAUGUGGUAAUUUUCACACCAAACCAAUUUUCCAAGCCAAAGUUAUAGGAAGCUUCUUUGGCAUAACUAUGAAGGAGAAGUGCCUCUCAAUAAUUUUACAUAUUGCAAGAAUUUUUUUUUCUUUUCUUCCUAUAUUUGAAUGCUUAGGCAGAUGUGUCCUGCCUGCUGGAUAGGAAAGAGCUCUUCUGUUAGGACUUGUCAGUAAUAAUGUAAAGAUAUACCAUCAAUCAAACAUUGCCACUUCCCCCUCAUCUCAUAAGACCCUUUCCCUUGGGGUAUUACUUCCAGGGCAGAGAUUGGCAUGUGGCUGGAAGGAAGGGGUAUCAUAUGACUCCACUAAGAACCCCACUCCCUCCUCCACCUUGCGACCCUCUACAAAUUGGUGUCUGUUCCAGCCCUGUAAGACCUCUCCAAAAGCAGGAGUGACCAAUCAGGGCAGGUUUCAGGGUG